UGUAGAGGAGCCGCAGAACUCAACUUUUAAGGCAAGAAAGCAACACGAGUGUAACUUCAGGUUGAACAAAGGCAAAAUUGCGCUGUAGUUUUCAGCCGAUGCGACAAGAGACCGAGUUCCCCAAGUGCCAUCGCCGGCAGCCCCUUCCCGACGGGAGAAGCCGCCGGAGCCUCCAUUGAGGAUGUUCCCAUCGCUUCCUUUGUACGCCUGUGCCUCCUCUGUCGCACAUGACCGGGUCCGAACUCUCCCUUCCAGCCCGUCUCCCUCAGGCACCCGCGCCCCUUCGCCCCGCGCGAAAGCGACCGUAAAACAGCGUGUCCUGACCUGAGCGAGGCAAGAGCGGCUGCGGUUCCGUAGGGGCAGCGGGGACCGGCUUCAAAUCCUCCUUCAGCUCCAGGACUUUCUGCCAAAAGAGCACUGAGCGCUGUUA